AUGAUUCGGAAGCAGGUAUACAAAAUUUGGAACAAUGCAGAGAAGGUUAGCAUGAACCCUGGGCAAGGGUGAGAGACAAAUAUGUUAAACAUUCAAUAUUUAA